rnacentral:lncRNA from 1 species
CUUCUUUGGCGCACUCAUUCUCAAGUCGCUGACACCUCCUCCACCAGAGAGGUAGCUGGGAGAAUGAGAUGCAGGGAGGAAGCAUUUACAGGCCCCACCGAAAAACCUUAAAGGGCUGAGAGCUUGAGGGCAGGGGCCGCUGCGCAUGGGCGACGAAGCGCGCGGGUUCCCAAGCCGCAGAGAGGCGGAAGCCGAUUGGUUGUCAGGCGAGGCGCGAGGGCGGAGCCUGGGAACUGGCCGGGAGUUGGGGGCUGGGAGCUCGCCCCCGGGCCGAGCCGGGUCAGGCUGUUGUCGCCUCAGGCAGCUCCUGGGAGGCUAACGUCGUGUCCUGGGCCUCUGUUUAGACAGCUCUAGAACUGAGGCGAGUGGAGCAGCACCAAGGCCCGGAGAUCGGGGCAGGGCAGCUGCUGUCGCCGCCGCCGCAGGCCUGAGUUACCUGAGUAACUGCGGGUCAGGGACCCGCCCGACGGCCCGCGGUUGGCGCUGGAGACUCUCGGUGGGGAAAGGGAAGCUGGGACUUGAUCCUUUGCGCGGGAUCCUGGCAAAGACUAGCGCGGGCCGGGGGUCCGGGAGAGCCCGCUAGGGGCGGGGAUUCCGGGGAGCCGUCUUCACCGGUUAUUCCGGGAUCCAG